rnacentral:rRNA from 1 species
AUUGAACGCUGGCGGCAGGCCUAACACAUGCAAGUCGAACGGUAACAGGAAACAGCUUGCUGUUUCGCUGACGAGUGGCGGACGGGUGAGUAAUGUCUGGGAAACUGCCUGAUGGAGGGGGAUAACUACUGGAAACGGUAGCUAAUACCGCAUAACGUCGCAAGACCAAAGAGGGGGACCUUCGGGCCUCUUGCCAUCGGAUGUGCCCAGAUGGGAUUAGCUAGUAGGUGGGGUAGCGGCUCACCUAGGCGACGAUCCCUAGCUGGUCUGCGAGGAUGACCAGCCACACUGGAAAUGAGACACGGUCCAGACUCCUGCGGGAGGCAGCAGUGGGGAAUAUUGCACAAUGGGCGCAAGCCUGAUGCAGCCAUGUCGCGUGUAUGAAGGAGGCCUUCGGGUUGUAAAGUACUUUCAGCGGGGAGGAAGGGAGUAAAGUUAAUACCUUUGCUCAUUGACGUUACCCGCAGAAGAAGCACCGGCUAACUCCGUGCCAGCCGCCGCGGUAA